GACGUAGGGCGCGAGCGUUGUCCGGAAUUAUUGGGCGUAAAGAGUUCGUAGGCGGCAUUGCAAGUAGGGUGUGAAAGCCCUCGGCUCAACCGAGGAAUUGCGCUCUAAACUGCAGUGCUUGAGGAAGCUAGAGGUGAGCAGAACAGAUGGUGGAGCGGUGAAAUGCGUUGAUAUCAUCUGGAAUACCGGAGGCGAAGGCGGCUCACUGGGGCUUUUCUGUCGCUGAGGAACGAAAGCCAGGGUAGCGAACGGG
rnacentral:rRNA from 1 species